AAAAGCCUUCAAACUCAGAGGAUUGCUGUGGAAAAGCUUCAGGAAAUGGAUGAUGCUUUCAGAAAACAACUUGGGUCAAUGUUGAUAGCUCAUCAGGAAGAACUAUUGCAGCUGGCAACUGAAAAGGAAAAACAAAUUGAAGCAGCAAAUGAAAAAGUUUACUGCGUUGAAGAAGAAAUGCGGCAGCUUCUGCAGGAAAUGGCAAACCAUAAAAAAGCCAUGGAAAAUAAAAUAAGACGACUUACACAUGCACUGAAUGAUUUUCAACAAGAUCUUUGAAAAUUGUGUAACACACAUUUUUACUGUAUAUAGUAACAGAUUUUAGCAAAUUCAUACAUGACACUGCGCUUUUCCUUGUUUUCUAGAGAAUAAAUUCUUUGAUAUAUUUUGA